CACGGGGCUGUGGACAGAGCGGCAGGACCUUAGGCCACAGACCGUCAACACCGGGUCCAGGUCAUGAGCACCGCCCCUCGGAGCCCAAGUGCAACCCCCCACAUCAAGGAUGGGCACAGGGCUGCGGAAUCCCCCGAGGCCCCUCCCGAAAAGCCUGGUAGGUACGGCUCCAAAGCCCGAGGGACACAGACCUGAAAAGCCUCUCCUGGGCUCACAGACACCCACAGGGACAGGGCGAGAGACAGGAGUGAGCGGGCAAGUGAUGGGGGGGGGGGGGGGAGCCUGAGAACAUGUGUCCCCCCGCCAAGAGGCCAGGCUGCCACUCUGCUCCAGCUGACACCUGCUGCUUGGGAAUGUGGGGCCAGACUGUUCACUUUUCUCAGAAAAGCUGGAAACCUAGAUUUUUGUGGGAACCUGCUAGUUUUUGAACAUUGACAGCUAAUCCCAAAUUACUGUAAAAAUAGGGUGUGAAUCAGGCUCAAGGGGAGGCUCAAAGGCUGCUCGGUGAGCUUCUAGAUUGCAGGGUGUCUUCUCCCAGGGAGAUGUGGAAGGAGAGGAUGGUUGAGGCACCCCCUGACUGGCAGGGAUGAGGAGAGUGCUGGUGCCACAGGGCCUGCCACUGAUUUUGGUCUCCCCUCCAUUCAGGGCAGGACCCCAGGGCUUGCUUGGUCCCCAUCCCUGGCAUGCCCAGGCCACGUCCCACACGAAGCCACCCAAGGCACAGCCUGAGCAGAUACCACCUUGAGAAGCAGAACUAGGCUCCUAAGAGUUGAGCCCGCGGAGAAAACCUUGUUACUCUCUUGUUAGAGAAUAACAAUGGCUAGUUGCGGAUCUUUCCUCCAGCAAAAAAAAGAAAAGUACGUUGGUGUAUAUAUGUGCACACACACACACACACACACACACACUCACACACACACACACACACC